GAUUUUUCUACAACCUCAAAACAUUUCUUAGCUCCUUAACAACUUUGCUAGCCCCCUUUUCUUUCUUUUCCUUUUUUGUUUUUUUUUUCGAUUUCUUUUCUUUUUUUUUUUUUUAUAUUAUUUUUUUUAGAUUGGGGGCCAAGACUUUUCAAAACUAGAGCUAGAGGUUCUCUACUUAUCCCAGAAAAUCAAUUCACUUAAGCACAAAGAGUCUAUCCCUUUUUAUUUUUCAUUUCUCCCAAAUCAUGAUCACAACACUCACCCUCCCACCUAUAGCUAGACGAUAGAGUGUCCAAUCUAGCAAAAAUGAAGAUCAAGCAUUGUCGUUCCCGAUACUCUCAACAUUAUGCGCAUGUAAGACUUUCCGAAGAAGGCCUCACUCAUCAAACAAUGAAAGCUUAAAAGGAAGGAAGGGUUUUGGGAGUGGUCUACCACUAGAGUUUGUCAAAAAGAUUGGCAUAAAAGAUGUGACAACUCAAGUGUGUAUAGCCAUGACUCAGUACACAAAGGACCCUAAGCAAGAAGUAUUAAGUUCAUUCAGUUCAAAUAAGGUUGUAGUUGGCUUCAAAGACUGAGUUUCAGCAAUCGACAAGUUUCAAGAAGAGUUUUCAAGGCUCGAAACAUACAAGUCUUUUCGAGAGGUGCAUGGCUACUCAAUGGUGCAACGUAGUGUUCUUUACAAGGCAUUUAAAAUCAUUGCUCCCUAUGCAAGUGAAUGCAACCUAUAUGCUCUAGACUCUCCUAAUGGUGCAAAUGAUGCAAACUAAAUGAAAAAUCUUUCUUUUUUUUUUUUUUAUGCAAAUAGGCGUGCAAUGCAUGACUCAAAUGAAACACAAUCAAAGCAAACAUGAUCAAAUGCUUGGUACCUCCCCCAAACUUGAGUUACACAGUCUCUGUGUUGUCAAAGAAAGAAGGAGAUACCGAGAAGAAAACUAAUAUGCAGGAAUGAAAUGGUAUAUACAAGGGAGUGAGAGACGUACCUCCUAUGGAUAGUAGGUAGGGGCAGAUGCCCCAGCAUCGUCGUCGUCAGGAGGGAAGGUGGUGUAGUACCCACCGGAUGCUGUACCGGAGCCUCCAUACCAUGGCUGGCUCUCAACCUCGUCAAUCUCGUCCUCACUAUCUGAAGAAGCAAGGGAUGGGGAUUUGUUGCCGGAAGUGGAAGGUUGAGUGGGUGGGUUCCUCCACUUACGCUGAAGCUGCGCAGCAGUGAGGGGGAAACCAAGAGCAUCAGGCGGGGGUGGAGGCUGGGGGUUUGAGGUGUUCGCGAAAGCGAAAUCAGCUGAGCUACAUCCAGCUAUUCCUCCCCUAGUUAAAACAUCAGCUACUUUCUUC
rnacentral:lncRNA from 1 species